UCGAUGUUUUGUUUUAGUGACAUCUAGUGACAAUUCUUCUAUAUUUAUGUCAUAUGACGGAUCGAUUUUAAAUAUAAGAGUUCAGAGUAGCGUAGGUUUUGCACCAGUCUAUCAUGACGGAAUACUGGUUGAUAUCUGCUCCCGGAGAGAGAACAUGUCAAGAAACUUGGGAAAAGUUGAACUCCGUUACUUCUAAGCAAAACAAUUUGUCUGAUAACUUUAAGUUCCACAUUCCAGAUCUAAAGGUGGGGACGUUGGAUCAACUAGUCGGGCUUUCAGAUGAUUUGGGGAAACUUGAUGCGUUUGUUGAAGGGUAGGUGAAGAGGACAGUUUGCUCUGAAAAUUCC